AACGAACGCUGGCGGCGUGGAUAAGACAUGCAAGUCGAACGGGAUUACAUUUGUAGCAAUACAGGUGCGAUUCAGUGGCGUAAGGGUGCGUAACACGUGGGGAAUCUGCCGAGAAGUGGGGGAGUAGCUCGUCGAAAGGACGAAUUAAUACCGCAUGUGACUAGAGUUGACAUCAACUCGAAGUCAAAGCCGGGGCGAACCUGGCGCUUCUUGAUGACCCCGCCGGCCUAUCAGCUAGUUGGUGAGGUAACGGCUCACCAAGGCUAUGACGGGUAGCUGGUCUGAGAGGACGACCAGUCACACUGGAACUGAGACACGGUCCA
rnacentral:rRNA from 1 species